rnacentral:lncRNA from 1 species
UUUUUAUAUACAUAUAUUUAGAUCUGCACAUUUUUUUUUCAUAACUAACUACCCUGAUUUUUCCUAAACCCUGACAAUUUCGCUACAAACUCUAAAUUUCAAACCUAAAACUUUAACCGUGUUAUUUCCUCUAAACCAUAAACUUUUUCUUAAACCUUAACAAACCUUAUUAUUAUUUCCUAUUUUCACUCUUAUUUAUGUUAUUCAUACACUGUAACUGCUUCGCCCUUGUAAUAUUU